UGCAAGUCGUAACACGGUAACCGUAAGGACUCCUUCGGGAGGAAACCGGUGGAACGAGCGGCGGACGGGUGAGUAACACGUGGGCAACCUGCCGGACUGAUGGGAAUAACCCCGGGAAACCGGGGCUAAUGCCCAAUACGCCCUGACCUCGCCUGAGGUCAGCGGUAAAGCAGGGAUCUUCGGAUCCUUGCACAGUCCGAUGGGCCCGCGGCGCAUUAGCUAGUUGGGGAGGUAAGGGCUCCCCAAGGCGACGAUGCGUAGCCGACCUGAGAGGGUGAUCGGCCACACUGGGACUGAGACACGGCCCAGACUCCUACGGGAGGCAGCAGUAGGGAAUCAUCCGCAAUGGGCGAAAGCCUGACGGUGCAACGCCGCGUGAGUGAUGAAGGUUUUCGGAUCGUAAAGCUCUGUUGACAGGGAAGAACCCACGCCAGUCGAACAGGCUGGCGUGCUGACGGUACCUGUCCAGAAAGCCCCGGCUAACUACGUGCCAGCAGCCGCGGUAAUACGUAGGGGGCAAGCGUUGUCCGGAAUUAUUGGGCGUAAAGGGCACGCAGGCGGUUUCGUCAGUCCGAUGUGACAGGCCACGGCUCAACCGUGGAAGGCCAUUGGAAACUGCGAAACUUGAGGACAGAAGAGGAGAGUGGAAUUCCACGUGUAGCGGUGAAAUGCGUAGAUAUGUGGAGGAACACCAGUGGCGAAGGCGACUCUCUGGUCUGUACCUGACGCUGAGGUGCGAAAGCAUGGGGAGCAAACAGGAUUAGAUACCCUGGUAGUCCAUGCCGUAAACGCUGAGUGCUAGGUGUUAGGGGUUUCGAUACCCGUAGUGCCGAAGCUAACGCAUUAAGCACUCCGCCUGGGGAGUACGACCGCAAGGUUGAAACUCAAAGGAAUUGACGGGGGCCUGCACAAGCGGUGGAGCAUGUGGUUUAAGGAUUAGAUACCCUGGUAGUCCAUGCCGUAAACGCUGAGUGCUAGGUGUUAGGGGUUUCGAUACCCGUAGUGCCGAAGCUAACGCAUUAAGCACUCCGCCUGGGGAGUACGACCGCAAGGUUGAAACUCAAAGGAAUUGACGGGGGCCUGCACAAGCGGUGGAGCAUGUGGUUUAAUUCGACGCAACGCGAAGAACCUUACCAGAUCUUGACAUCUUCCGCUACGCCUCGAGAGAGGCGGUUCCCCUUCGGGGGACGGAAUGACAGGUGGUGCAUGGUUGUCGUCAGCUCGUGUCGUGAGAUGUUGGGUUAAGUCCCGCAACGAGCGCAACCCCUAAUCUUAGUUGCCAGCAUUCAGUUGGGCACUCUAAGGUGACUGCCGGUGACAAACCGGAGGAAGGUGGGGAUGACGUCAAAUCAUCAUGCCCCUUAUGAUCUGGGCUACACACGUGCUACAAUGGAUGGUACAACGGGACGCGAACCCGCGAGGGGGAGCCAAUCCAGAAAAG
rnacentral:rRNA from 1 species